AUUGAACGCUGGCGGCAGGCUUAACACAUGCAAGUCGAGCGGGGAAGGGUAGCUUGCUACCUGACCUAGCGGCGGACGGGUGAGUAAUGCUUAGGAAUCUGCCUAUUAGUGGGGGACAACAUUCCGAAAGGAAUGCUAAUACCGCAUACGCCCUACGGGGGAAAGCAGGGGAUCUUCGGACCUUGCGCUAAUAGAUGAGCCUAAGUCAGAUUAGCUAGUUGGUGGGGUAAAGGCCUACCAAGGCGACGAUCUGUAGCGGGUCUGAGAGGAUGAUCCGCCACACUGGGACGGAGACACGGCCCAGACUCCUACGGGAGGCAGCAGUGGGGACUAUUGGACAAUGGGCGAAAGCCUGAUCCAGCCAUGCCGCGUGUGUGAAGAAGGCCUUUUGGUUGUAAAGCACUUUAAGCGAGGAGGAGGCUACCGAGAUUAAUACUCUUGGAUAGUGGACGUUACUCGCAGAAUAAGCACCGGCUAACUCUGUGCCAGCCGCCGCAGUAACAC
rnacentral:rRNA from 1 species